rnacentral:rRNA from 1 species
AACGUGGGUAACCUGCCUUAUAGUGGGGGAUAGCCUUUCGAAAGGAAGAUUAAUACCGCAUAAGAUUGUAGUAUCGCAUGAUAUAGCAAUUAAAGGAGCAAUUCGCUAUAAGAUGGACCCGCGUCGCAUUAGCUAGUUGGUGAGGUAAUGGCUCACCAAGGCGACGAUGCGUAGCCGACCUGAGAGGGUGAUCGGCCACAUUGGGACUGAGACACGGCCCAGACUCCUACGGGAGGCAGCAUG